GCACUGUACUUGUCCUGCAAUUAGUCAUCUCUCACACGGGAGGUCAUGCCUCUGCUUAACCUUGAUCGUGGCUGAUGGUCUAUGCCAGGCAGAAAGUGAAGCUCAAGAUGAGUUUGCUCCUGGCUUUGGGAAUCCUCAGUCUGGACUCUGCCAUGCCUUGCAAGCAGAAAGAUGCCACGUGAAUUCUGGAGCUGCAGAAGUUCUGUGACAUCAGAUGACCACCUCCACUGUCUUCCAGUGUGUGUGCACACUUGUGUGUGUGCACAAAGGGCCAAGAGGAGAGUCUACUCACUUCUAAAAGUGUGGGUUUUUAAGAAGCUUGAAAACAGAAGCCUGGAAUGUGGAGCUCUAAUGCACUUGGAAAUGCUUCUGUUACCAUUCCUGCUCGUCAGAAAUACUGCUUGGUUCCAUCGUAUGGCAGGGGAGUGGCUGUUCACCGAAAAUGAAUAAUCCUGGAAUGAAGUUCGGGAUAGUGUGUCACUCUAGAAAGAGAAGUGGCCUUCUGGGCAGUCUUAGAACUUAUAUGAAUUUUUGAGUGUAUGAAAUAAAUGGAUCAAAAGUGAAUAAAACA
rnacentral:lncRNA from 1 species